AGCAUAUGCCAGCUAUAAAUUUUAUUUAGCAAGCCUGUGUUUUUAGUUGUAAUAGAUAUUUCCUGGCAUUGGGUUCCAGGUGCUCAACGAACUACAUGAACGACUCACCUUUGCUGCAGCGUCAAUCCUUUAUUUGGAAUGUGAAUUCUUUCACUGGUUUGAGUGCCCUGAUGCCUUCCCCUUCAAUCUUUCUGAUGUCAAUUCAAGAAAGAAGGAAGGAUAGCUUUAGUCAUUGCAGUGGAGGAGACUGAUCGUUUCUUGGGAUCUUUGACAGAGAUAUAAGGAUGUUCAUUAAUUUUUUUAUGGCAAUUCAAGAAGAAAGAAAGAACAAAAAGAAAUUCAACUAACUAAAAUAGAGUGACCGUAUUGAAAAAAACUUAAAAAAUGACAAACAAAAAAAAACAGAUACAGACGGCACCUGAAAUUUAACUAACUAAAAUAGCAAGCGUACGUGGUUUUAUUUGUGAUUCUCAAGCUUUCCUUUACUACAGCGUAACCCUUCUGGUUUGAGCAUUCUUUCUGAUGGCAAUUCAAGAAAGAAUAAAGAUUAGCUUCAGUCAUUUACAAUGGAGGAGAUCGAUUGUUUCUUGGGAUCUUUGACAGAAACAUUCAAGGGCUUUCAUUAUCUUUUAUGGUUGUUUGAGAAGGGAAAAAAAAAAACCUUUCAAGAAAGAAAAGAAUUCUUUCUUUGACAACCCUCAACGAAAUACAUGAACAACUCACCUCUGCUGCAGCGUAUUUGGAAUGCGAAUUCUUUCGCUGGUUUGAGCACCCUGAUGCCUUCUCCUUUAACUCUUUCUGAUAUCAAUUCAAGAAAGGAGAAAGAAUAGCUUGAGACUGAUUGUUUCUUGAGACUAAGUAAAAAUAAU
rnacentral:lncRNA from 1 species